UAGCUGGUCCCACUAGGGUUAACAGCACCCAUCUUAGUGUUUUAGUUUUUUAAUUAAUCUUACUUAAAAAAAAACCACAGCCCCCAUCGCCAUGUGGUCACCUCCUCCGCGACCAGCCGCCGCCACCAUCAACCUUCUUCCCCUUUCCCUUCCCCUACCACCACUAGCAACCUCCUUCUCCAUUACCACCACCAGCAACCUUCUUUCCCUCUCCCCUACCACCACCAUCUACCUUCUCAUCCCCCUCCCCCACCAGCAACCUUCUCUGCCCCUCCCUCCAAUCCCCUCACAAUUAAAAAAAAAAAAAAAAAAAAGCAAAAAAAUGGUGUCAUCUUCCCGAUGACCGCCGCCGCCGCCAUGGUAUCAUCUUCUCCAUGACCACCAAGAUCCUAAACCUUAACCAACCCCCCACUCAUUCUUCUUUCUCCUGUUGCCACCACUACAUCUCCCCCCGCGCCUCUUCCCUCACCUUCUUCCACCAUUCCACCAUUAAACACCGUCGCCACCACCACAUCCCAUUUUACCACCUGCCACCACUACCUUUCCCCCUUCAAAACAACCUGUACCUCCACCAAUCUUAACCCCAGGUCGUGGAGAUCGCGCUCCCCUCUUGUCCAUCUUAAAUUUCCAGUUUCUGGUGUUUCGUAAAUUUGGCUUAGUGAGCCGAGCCGUCUAAGCUAGUAAGCCAAACAAGCCAGUCAGUCUAGUCUAGCCCAGUAGCAAGCCGAGCCAGAAGAAGUCAGCCAAGUCAGUCAGCC
rnacentral:lncRNA from 1 species